GAUGAACGCUGGCGGCGUGCCUAAUACAUGCAAGUCGAGCGAACGGACGAGAAGCUUGCUUCUCUGAUGUUAGCGUCGGACGGGUGAGUAACACGUGGAUAACCUACCUAUAAGACUGGGAUAACUUCGGGAAACCGUAGCUAAUACCGGAUAAUAUUUUGAACCGCAUGGUUCAAAAGUGAAAGACGGUCUUGCUGUCACUUAUAGAUGGAUCCGCGCUGCAUUAGCUAGUUGGUAAGGUAACGGCUUACCAAGGCAACGAUGCAUAGCCGACCUGAGGGGGUGAUCGGCCACACUGGAACUGAGACACGGUCCAGACUCCUACGGGAGGCAGCAGUAGGGAAUCUUCCGCAAUGGGCGAAAGCCUGACGGAGCAACGCCGCGUGAGUGAUGAAGGUCUUCGGAUCGUAAAACUCUGUUAUUAGGGAAGAACAGAUGUGUAAGUAACUGUGCACAUCUUGACGGUACCUAAUCAGAAAGCCACGGCUAACUACGUG
rnacentral:rRNA from 1 species